GCUGGGCAUGGUGGCGCAUGCCUGUAGUCCCAGCUAUUCGGGAGGCUGAGGCAGGAGAAUCACUUGAACCCGGGAGGCAGAGGUUGCAGUGAGCCAAGAUUGUGCCACUGCACUCCAUCCUGGGUGACAGAGUGAGACUCUGUCUCAA
rnacentral:SRP_RNA from 1 species